AGUAACGCGUGAGGAACCUGCCUCAAAGAGGGGGACAACAGUUGGAAACGACUGCUAAUACCGCAUAAGCCCACAGCUCGGCAUCGAGCAGAGGGAAAAGGAGUGAUCCGCUUUGAGAUGGCCCCGCGUCCGAUUAGCUAGUUGGUGAGGUAAUGGCCCACCAAGGCGACGAUCGGUAGCCGGACUGAGAGGUUGAACGGCCACAUUGGGACUGAGACACGGCCCAG
rnacentral:rRNA from 1 species